rnacentral:rRNA from 1 species
UACGAAGGGGGCUAGCGUUGCUCGGAAUCACUGGGCGUAAAGGGUGCGUAGGCGGGUCUUUUAAGUCAGGGGGUGAAAUCCUGGAGCUCAACUCCAGAACUGCCUCUGAUACUGAGGAUCUUGAGUUCGGGAGAGGUGAGUGGAACUGCGAGUGUAGAGGUGAAAUUCGUAGAUAUUCGCAAGAACACCAGUGGCGAAGGCGGCUCACUGGCCCGAUACUGACGCUGAGGCACGAAAGCGUGGGGAGCAAACAGG